rnacentral:rRNA from 1 species
GACAUCCAGAGAACUUAGCAGAGAUGCUUUGGUGCCUUCGGGAACUCUGAGACAGGUGCUGCAUGGCUGUCGUCAGCUCGUGUUGUGAAAUGUUGGGUUAAGUCCCGNAACGAGCGCAACCCUUAUCCUUUGUUGCCAGCGGCUCGGCCGGGAACUCAAAGGAGACUGCCGGUGAUAAACCGGAGGAAGGUGGGGAUGACGUCAAGUCAUCAUGGCCCUUACGGCCAGGGCUACACACGUGCUACAAUGGCGCAUACAAAGAGAAGCGACCUCGCGAGAGCAAGCGGACCUCAUAAAGUGCGUCGUAGUCCGGAUUGGAGUCUGCAACUCGACUCCAUGAAGUCGGAAUCGCUAGUAAUCGUAGAUCAGAAUGCUACGGUGAAUACGUUCCCGGGCCUUGUACACACCGCCCGUCACACCAUGGGAGUGGGUUGCAAAAGAAGUAGGUAGCUUAACCUUCGGGAGGGCGCUUACCACUUUGUGAUUCAUGACUGGGGUGAAGUCGUAACAAGGUAGGCGUACGUGU